UUAACAAUACUAUAUUAUGCUAUUGCAAUGAUUUUAUAAAGCUACCAUUGCACAUAAAAUGUACAUAUAUAUUAAUCAUCAAGAGUAGUAGUAACUAUUAAUUCCCAUAAUGUCAAAUGCAAAAAAAUAACUAUUUUUUUACCAUUCUAAGACAUCAAAACAUACACAUAUUUCGAAUGUUCAAAAAUAAAUGAUGUUUGAAACUUCUCGGUCAAAUUUUUUAGCAGCUAGUGUAACAUGAAGCCAGUGCGAUCGAUCUCUUAGGUCAGGUCUAGUUCAUCAAUUUUGUUCCUGCCGUCUUCUAUAUUUUGAUCACCUACAGCAAUAAGAAAAACAAAAAUAAAGUCUAGCAACAAACUACAGAAACAACAUACCCAAUACUGAGUCCUAUUUCCAGAUUUAGUUACAUACUUGAUAACAACAGGAGCAACUAUACAUUGAUGCAUGAGGUUCGUGAGGUAAAGAAAGAUGUUUGUGAGGACAAUAUAUAGCAAUAUGGGAAAGAACACAAUAUAUAGCAAUAUGGGAAACUACAUGCAAGCAAUCCUCUUGGAUGGUUCAAAAGAUAUUCAAAGCUAAGAAGUAUAUAGAGGAAGCAAGGUAUACUAAACACGAUAUCCAACAUAUGUCCACCUCCUCUAUCAAAUAUAUGCACUGCAAAUUGUUGGGAACAUAUCAAUUUGCGUAGCUGCUAGUGUGUAAUAUGUGUGGCAAAAGAGGAACAAUCGUGUCUUUUGACAACAAUAUAUACACAUAUACUUCAUAUUAAUUAGGACAGUGUGCUUCAUGAAAGAAGAAAAUAUAUGCGACAACAAUAAAUACACAUACACUACAUAUUAAUCACACAUAAAGAUGUCACAGAAUGAACUUCAAACUAUAUUGACCCUAGAAACUGGACUCUUUUUCAAACCUAUAUGGAUAAUUUUAAACGUAUGAGCUACAGUGUCUAAUGAGCUUACUAGAUUCAAAUAUGAACUCUUCAAGCAAGUUGUACAAUCCCAUUUUUGAAUUUUCAAACCAAGUAAAAAAUAAAUAGUAAAUUUCCAAAAAAGCCAAUCCACCACCAGUGCUUUAUUCAGGUCAGGAAACCAUCAACAAUGCUAGUGAAUCGAAAUAGACCACACACGACUUCACUAUACUUCAAGAUUACAACAAGAUGACUUGAAAAUAAGAGAUAUUGUACUCGAAAAUCAGAGAUUGCUCCUUCAACGGAGAAUACCAAUUCCUUCGACGGACCAGUUUCACACCAAAAUAUACCAAGUAAAGCAUCAAUUUCAACAGAAAACACCAAAAUAUACCAAGUACAAUAGCAGUUUACUAAGAGAAGAGUUCCCGGUGUAAUAGCUAAGACAAGAGUUCCCGGAGUAAGAGUUCAGCAAAAUCUACUAAGCAAAUUAAUCUACUAAGAGUUAAGCAAAAUCUAUCUACUAAGAGAAAGAAGGGAGAUGUGAGUCGAUAUUUUUUUGGCGUAUUGAAAGAGGGAAGAAUGGAGAAUUGGGGAUUGUUUUUCUCAACCCUAAGACCCAAUUU
rnacentral:lncRNA from 1 species